CCACGUUGCUUCGGCGGGCUCUCGGUGUCCCCCGGGACGACGCCCCGCCGGAGGGCAGCUGAAACCCUGCGCGUUUAGUGAUGUCUGACGUUUAGUGAAUUGAACAAAACUUUCAACAACGGAUCUCUUGGUUCUGGCAUCGAUGAAGAACGCAGCGAAAUGCGAUAAGUAAUGUGAAUUGCAGAAUUCAGUGAAUCAUCGAAUCUUUGAACGCACAUUGCGCCCUCUGGUAUUCCGGGGGGCAUGCCUGUUCGAGCGUCAUUAUCACCACUCAAGCGCGGCUUGGACUUGGGCGACGUCUCCUGGGAUUUUCCGGGGAGACGCGCCUGGAAAUCGGUGACGGUCGUACCCGUCGUCCAGCGUAGCAAGAUGUAUCAUCAUCGCUGCGGGGGCGGGUCCGUGCCGGUCAGCAGUCUCAUCACAUCAAGGUUGACCUCGGAUCAGGUAGGGAUACCCGCUGAACUUAAGCAUAUCAAUAAGCGGAGGAAAAGAAACCAACAGGGAUUGCCUCAGUAACGGCGAG
rnacentral:rRNA from 1 species